CACGAGCGCCUUUUUUUUAAAUAGGGGAGGUGUAACCGGAGUAGGUGAGCAGACCCAGAAGCAAAGCAUUGAGGUGAGGCGUGAAGCUGUUAUCCGGAGCCUCAUACUGUACCUUGGCGAAAAACAAGAGGAGCUUUCUGAAGAAUGCCUGGAGGACAGUCGCAGUGACACCAUGCAACACAUCCUUAAGAUUCUGGUGGUCUAUGGAGCUGGUGUAGAGGAUUCAGUGGAUGUAUCUGUUAUUCUCGAAGGCCGGGAGAUCCUACCAGGAUGUCACAACGUGGCUAAAGCUUGUGCACUACAUAUGGGGUUGAUUUAUGCCCUCAACCUUGCAUACCCCUGCACUAUAUUUUGGGUUGUUCUGUUGUUUUGAAAUUGUUUCCCGCACUGUGGUACAUAAUUUGUACUUUUGCCGUUUGUACUAAAUAGAACUUUAGUAGCGUUUUCAGUUUUAUGCCUUAUAACCACCUGGUCUUACUGUCACCAAGAGAGACCAGACUUUAGAAGCAUCGAUGUGUUUCUACUGUGUGUUUUGAAUUGACUUUAUUCAAGGCAAAUAGUGGUGGGAUAUGUUUUGUUAAAGUUAUCAUUUUUUGCCAGUUUUCAUUUACUUUUAUCUAGAGCGUUUAACAUCUUUAAUAAACAUAUUUAACAUCUGUUUUAUGCUAAAUGUUUUGAUACCGUUGGGAAAAAAUAAACAAUUGAAUUGUAUUAAGGAUUGAGUGGAAGAUUUGCUGAAACAACAGAAUUUGUACUUUGCUGUCAGUUGUAAUAAAUGUUGUUCUUGAA